CACGUUGCUAGUUUCUUCUUAAUAUCCUAUGUGGUUCUUUUUUGUGAAUCUCAAUCCAGGCUUUAUGUUUGAUUUCGGCGGAACUCAACGACCUUAACCUCAACUCUUGUAAAAACUUGCAUCCGGAGAGAUUGCUCCUUCAAUGCCCAAGUUUACAUAAUGUGCAUGCGGCAGAGCCAUCAAAGGCCAGGUAGGAAAAUAUAGUUUCAUUGAGCUCCAUUUUCUACAUGCUAAAUCAAAUCUUCAAACGGCAACGAUAAUCUCAUUCAUUUUCGCCGUUAUUUACGAUUCUUUUCCUGUUGUUCUCAUCAUAAGUGAUUGAUAACAUGGCAUCUCUGGAAAACCGAUUUCAAUGUAAGCGACUGGCCAACGGCUCCAAGAGGGUUUGUGCACCGGAUUGUCUGAGUCAACAGACAAGUGAUGAUAAUAAACGGAGGAGGGUAAUGGAACGGCAAUGCAAUGUGCUUGUGGACUAAAAUCUCCAUUUUUGUAA